rnacentral:rRNA from 1 species
UGACCGCUGGCGGCGUGCCUCAUACAUGCAAGUCGAACGCACAGCGAAAGGUGCUUGCACCUUUCAAGUGAGUGGCGAACGGGUGAGUAACACGUGGACAACCUGCCUCAAGGCUGGGGAUAACAUUUGGAAACAGAUGCUAAUACCGAAUAAAACUUAGUGUCGCAUGACACAAAGUUAAAAGGCGCUUCGGCGUCACCUAGAGAUGGAUCCGCGGUGCAUUAGUUAGUUGGUGGGGUAAAGGCCUACCAAGACAAUGAUGCAUAGCCGAGUUGAGAGACUGAUCGGCCACAUUGGGACUGAGACACGGCCCAAACUCCUACGGGAGGCUGCAGUAGGGAAUCUUCCACAAUGGGCGAAAGCCUGAUGGAGCAACGCCGCGUGUGUGAUGAAGGCUUUCGGGUCGUAAAGCACUGUUGUAUGGGAAGAACAGCUAGAAUAGGAAAUGAUUUUAGUUUGACGGUACCAUACCAGAAAGGGACGGCUAAAUACGUG